CCAGACGCGCAGGACUCUCCACCGCGGGCACCUCACCUCCAAACGCCGCCGCACAAGUAGAGCCGCCGCGGCUGGUGAUGCACCGGAUGAAGGGAGCACCUAGGCGCAUCACGACGUCAAUACAGGAAGGGACUCUCCAUGGUGAGGAGGUAGGUUGCCGGGCGCAUCCGAGGCGCUGCCUAGGUUGAGCGGCACUUACAACGGGUCCAUCUCCAUCGUUCCUCUCGGCUAUGGCUCGACCAAAUUUCCUUCCUGGAGAGAGCAGGUGGAUUGGAUGAGUAUGGAUCAGAGGCCAGAUUGCGCAGCACCAGUCGGACUUUUAAUUCCCACCAGGCAUGUGACUGUAGAACAAUAUAUGACCAUGUUUCUCGGCCUUUCUGGAUUCAUGGGAACAUAAUGGACGAUUGAGCACCAUAAGCAUAGGCAAGUUUGUUGCAGGAUUUAGCCUCAACUGUGUACCUGGCAUAAGCACUCAUCGUUUGACGAACAUCUGAAUUGUUUUUAUGGAAAAAAUGAUCUGAUCUCAGAAA